rnacentral:lncRNA from 1 species
AAAUUAUUAUCAGGUAAAUUUACCAGGGAGACAUCCUAUUCUUUCUCUUCUGGAGAGUUUUUCCCCCCUCGUGGCAAAAUAAGUGACAGAUAAAUUUACCAGGAAGACAUCCUAUUCUUUCUACCAUUAACUUAACCUUCUAAAUGCUUUAUCCGGUAUCAUCCCUAUGACAGAAUAGGGUCAAAAUUGAUCAUUGAACUACUAACAUAGCCAUUGGUGGUUUGUCUCUGUUAUACUGAUUGAUGGGCAACACCAUGGGACUGAACAUGUCAAAAGAUCUGCUCUUGUGCGUAGUACAGAAUUUUGGAAAAAAGGGGUCGAGAGAAUAUCCCAGAAGUUCAAGACAUGAUUUCAUGUUGUAAUUUUUCAAUUGCGUCCUUUUUUUUAUAUAGACUGUAAUGGCCAUGGAAAAGCUGCUUUACUGCUUGUUGGGCUUCUGUUUACCAAAAUAGAGAAGAAUGCAGUAUAAGAAACUGAUAGCAUCAAUGAAUGUUGUCACAUGUUAUCGUUAAAUAAUUGUAAAGGAAAUUGUAGAAUUGUAAUAUUUCCUUCGUACUGUGGUGGUCGAUUAUUGAUAUGGAUAAUUAAACCCCGCAUUUGGGUCAAGUAGUUUUAAUUAUGAGUCAAGUUGAUACUGCUUUGUGAGGAAAAUUUGAAGGAGAAAUGAUCAUCUUGCUUUCUAUUUUAGCAAUGCCACCGUAAAAAAGUGA